rnacentral:misc_RNA from 1 species
CUGAGUGAGGGCCCUCUGGGUCCAACCUCCCACCCGUGUUUUAUUGUACCUUGUUGCUUCGGCAGGCCCGCCUCACGGCCGCCGGGGGCCUCUGCCCCCGGGCCCGCGCCUGCCGAAGACACCCUUGAACGCUGUCUGAAGUUUGCAGUCUGAGCGAAUAGCAAAAUUUGUUA